UACGAAGGGGGCUAGCGUUGCUCGGAAUCACUGGGCGUAAAGCGCACGUAGGCGGAUUCCUAAGUCGGUGGUGAAAUCCUGGAGCUCAACUCCAGAACUGCCUCCGAUACUGGGAGUCUCGAGUUCGGGAGAGGUGAGUGGAACUGCGAGUGUAGAGGUGAAAUUCGUAGAUAUUCGGAAGAACACCAGUGGCGAAGGCGGCUCACUGGACCGUUGUUGACGCUGAGGUGCGAAAGCGUGGGGAGCAAACAGG
rnacentral:rRNA from 1 species